rnacentral:misc_RNA from 1 species
AAAGAUCGCAGCCUGCGGCAGCUCCUACAGGACCGGGUUUCACUCGGUUAUGUAGGAGCUGCCGCAGGCUGCGAUCUUU